rnacentral:rRNA from 1 species
CCAAUAGCGUAUAUUAAAGUUGUUGCAGUUAAAAAGCUCGUAGUUGAAUUUCGGGGUCAGUAAGUUGGUCGUGCCAAUGGUAUGUACUGGCUUUACUGAUUCCUCCUUCUUGAAGAACUGUAAUGCCAUUAAUUUGGUGUUGCAGGGAAUCAGGACUGUUACUUUGAAAAAAUUAGAGUGUUUAAAGCAGGCUUACGCUUGAAUACAUUAGCAUGGAAUAAUGAAAUAGGACGUUGAUCUUAUUUUGUUGGUUUCUAGGAUUGACGUAAUGAUUAAUAGGGAUAGUUGGGGGCAUUAGUAUUCAAUUGUCAGAGGUGAAAUUCUUGGAUUUAUUGAAGACUAACUACUGCGAAAGCAUUUGCCAAGGAUGUUUUCAUUAAUCAAGAACGAAAGUUAGGGGAUCGAAGACGAUCAGAUACCGUCGUAGUCUUAACCAUAAACUAUGCCGACUAGGGAUCGGAUGAUGUUAAUUUUUUAAUGACUCAUUCGGCGCCUUACG